rnacentral:rRNA from 1 species
GACGAACGCUGGCGGCGUGCUUAACACAUGCAAGUCGAACGGAGAAGCGCCUUCCUUUUUGGUGGGUGUGGAUGAGUGGCGAACGGGUGAGCAAGACGUGAGUAACCUGCCCCCUUCUGCUGGAUAACCGCAUGAAAGUGCGGAUAAUACGGGAUAUUCUGGGUCUGUCGCAUGAUGGGUCUGGGAAAGAUAUUGUUUCGGUGGGGGAUGGGCUCGCGGACUAUCAGCUGGUUGGUGGGGUGACGGCCUACCACGGCGGUGACGGGUCGCCGGCCUGAGAGGGUGGCCGGUCCCACUGGGGCUGCGCCGCCGCGCAGACUCCUACGGGAAGCAGCAGUGGAUAGUAUUGCACAGUGGGAGCCAUCCUGAUGCAGCGCCGCGGCGUGAGGGAUGGAGGCCUUCGGGUUGUGAACCUCUUUCGCCAGUGAAGCAGGCCUGCCUCGUUUGUGGGUGGGUUGACGGUAGCUGGAUAAGAAGCGCCGGCUAACUACGUG